GCUAAUACAUGCAAGUCGAGCGGAUUGAUGGGAGCUUGCUCCCUGAUAUCAGCGGCGGACGGGUGAGUAACACGUGGGUAACCUGCCUGUAAGACUGGGAUAACUCCGGGAAACCGGGGCUAAUACCGGAUAACUCAUUUCCUCGCAUGAGGAAAUGUUGAAAGGUGGCUUCUGGCUACCACUUACAGAUGGACCCGCGGCGCAUUAGCUAGUUGGGGAG
rnacentral:rRNA from 1 species